rnacentral:rRNA from 1 species
GACGAACGCUGGCGGCGUGCCUAAUACAUGCAAGUCGAGCGGACAGAAGGGAGCUUGCUCCCGGAUGUUAGCGGCGGACGGGUGAGUAACACGUGGGUAACCUGCCUGUAAGACUGGGAUAACUCCGGGAAACCGGAGCUAAUACCGGAUAGUUCCUUGAACCGCAUGGUUCAAGGAUGAAAGACGGUUUCGGCUGUCACUUACAGAUGGACCCGCGGCGCAUUAGCUAGUUGGUGAGGUAACGGGUCACCAAGGCGACGAUGCGUAGCCGACCUGAGAGGGUGAUCGGCCACACUGGGACUGAGACACGGCCCAGACUCCUACGGGAGGCAGCAGUAGGGAAUCUUCCGCAAUGGACGAAAGUCUGACGGAGCAACGCCGCGUGAGUGAUGAAGGUUUUCGGAUCGUAAAGCUCUGUUGUUAGGGAAGAACAAGUGCAAAAGUAACUGCUUGCACCAUGACGGUACCUAACCAGAAAGCCACGGCUAACUACGUGCCAGCCGCCGCGGUAAUAC